AUUUGGUUCUCUUCCCCUCAUCUUCUGUUUUAUUCUCCAUAAACCCUAACUUUUGAGACCUAUUCACCAACUAAAAUUGAGGAGAUCGAAGAAGAUAGUUGAGGUUAAGAGCUCUGGGUUAGUCCAUAUGUGAAAAGGACUUUGAAGAUGACUCUGUAUGUGACAGAUCAAGCUUUGGCUGUGAUGAAAGAUGUUAGUGGUAGUUCAGAUUUUCAAUUGCAACAACCCAAGAUGUUGAACAGUACAAUGGCAAUGGAGCAAUGGUGCCAGCGAAAAGAAGGUUUCCAUAAGUCUGCAGGUGCAAGAGGCUCUGGGGAUGUUGAUCAAUCUCAUGGGCCUGGUUCAAAAUCUGAACUUAGAGAGUAAAGUAGCUAUGAUGUUGAACGUGUUAAUCGGGAGCAUGUAAACUCAGAACCAUUCAACAUAAAGCUAGCAUUGACUUCUUCGACAAAUGAUAAACAAAAAGUGGCACAACAUAAGUAAGGGUAUGGAGGAAGCUAAUAGCGAUUGUGAUGUUCAUAAUUCAAGGUUAUGGUGGUCUUGGUGUCCUGCAUCUUGGAGUAGCUCCUGCAUAUUCGCAGUUGGACCCAUAGUAGCGAGUUUUCUGAAUGUUCACUGUAAUCAAGACAUCGAUAGGCAGGUUUUAGAGAAUUGGAGAUGGCAUAGCUUGCUUUGGUCUUCAUCCUGUGGUGGAGUAUGACAUUCAACUUCUUCUUGCAGAGUUAGGAUGAUUAGUCGAGUAAGUAAGUGGUUCAACUUCAAGCAAUGAAUGCAAAGUACUACUUGAGAAAAUGAGAAAAUGAUGAGGUUAUUCUUUUCUAGCUAAAAAAAUGCCUUUGUGCGGCUAGCGAGUUUUAAAGUAUGACUGAAGCAGUAUUACUCAGAAAUUGAUAGUGGCAGAAUGUGAAGCUGCAUGCCUGCAUCAUUCAAAAGGAGAUGGAAUUCACUAAUGCAAGAAUCGUAGCGUCUUUGCAAUAUUGCGGCAUCUUCAAAGUCUGACGGAAGAAAUAUUACUCAGAAAUUUAUAAUGGUAGAAUGUGAAGCUGCAUCAUCAUAAGGAGAUGGGGAUUCACCAAUGCUGGAAACAUAGCAUGUGCAAUAGUGAAAGGCAACUUCAAAAAUUGAGGACAUGCACUACCUACACCGUAAGAGGGAAACGAAGGGUACAAGUCAUCUUUAGAGGAUGGCAGACUUGCACCGAAAGAUAAACAGAUUUGUUUGUGACGUUUCCCCAUUCAAUUAGAGCUUUUCACCAUCUGAAACAGCAUGCCUAGAGAUGCAGCAAGUUAAUCAGUUAGGAGGAUUGGUAUAUAUGUUGGAAACUUGCAUCAUGAAUGUGGUAUUACACUGAUUAGAUACCUUGCAUCGUCACUGGAUUAGUUGUACCCAGAUAUUAUAUGAUAGAGCAAACCAAAUCUCAUGUUCAUGCUUA